CCACCCAAGCGUUUCCGGCGCCGAGCGGCCAUCGGUUCGCCGCCAGCGAACGCGGCAAAG
rnacentral:sRNA from 2 species